GCAGGAUGAUACAGCAUCUGCCACGGUGAGGAAGAUUCUGUCCUCGCCUAUCAAAUUUGCAAAAUUUGAAGCAUGGAGCUUGUGGAUCACCGCAGGACCUGGAUUCGCCAGAACAAGCUGCAUACCAAGAAAAUACCAACUCCUCCGGUAAGCAUAUUUCACCAACUUUACUCCACUUUUUGGGUGCUGGUCUUGUCUUGUUAAAAAAACUUGCUAGAAAUCCAAGGCAUAUAAAGUAGAAGCGGAUGGUGUUUUUUACCUGCACGUCUCUCUUCUUUAGACUGCUGUUUAACUCCUCAAGUGCAUGGAUUCCACUAGUGUCAAUGUCCGUAACGGCUGCAUACAAACAACAAUACAUGUUAAUAACUCUCCUAUAAAACCAACGAGCAUACCUUUAGCCCACAGGAGGGAGAUGGGAAGGGAAUCUUACGUGAUAAAUCUACUACCAAAAACUGAAUUCUUGGCUGGUUCUCUGCUUUAACUCUUUCUUCCUCAUCUGUCAGCCAUCUCAGUAACCUGAUAGGAAGUUGAUUUGGGCAACAUGAAAUCUAUUACAAACAGAAACAACUAGCCAGAUUUUAAGACCCCCCGAUUUAUCCUAAUGCUGCAUACUCGUGUACUGUAAGAUAAAGAGCAGUAACGUGCCACGCCAUGCUUCUGUGGGAUAUAAGGCCUUUAAUGAGAUUAUUAGAAAACCUGAAUCAAUAAAUAUAACUAUGUAAUACUUUACUUGUACGUUUAAAAUUGGUUUAUUUCAAUUCCCAAAAAGAAGAAAAGAUAAAUAAAUUUCAUAAGAGAAAGCUAUGCCAUGUCUACAAAUUCUUAGGAGAUCAUUUCAAACAAUUGAAGGAUUUCUCUAACUUUUUAUUGGUUCAGGUGCAAAAAUCAAAACAGUGUGUUACAGGCUGUUUGGAUUUAUUUAUUUGCUUUUUUUAACUCAUAGUCAUGUACUUAUAAACUUUUAAAAAUAACUUUAAAUAUAGUUUAAUUAAUUAAGUUUACUUUUGUGCAAGAGUUUGUGGGUUCGAGUUGGAUAAUGCUCCUCCGUGUGUCAUUAUUUUAAAGGUUAUUUGUGUUAUGUUAUAAUUAAUGUAUAUAUACCAUAUUGUUGAUGAAUGUAUACAAUUUUUUACUCAAAAAUUUAAGUUUAUUCCUAUAUCUCUAACGGGCUCUACAUAAGUAUCUUUGAACUUUCAGCAAAAAGAGUGCUCAUAAAUUGAAAGCAGAAUAAAUUAUUAAAAUCCAAAGGUCAAGAAUUGGAUUCUGUCCAAACCCAAAGGUCAAAAGUAUUUGUUGGGUUAUAAACCAAAACAAAGAAGCACCUCUUAGGAGCUUAUUUAGGACUUAUAAGCUAAGAGCUUAUAGCCAAAGAGAGGAUACCGAGCACAUGUGUCUUCUAUUCUUUUAUCAAACUAUUUAACAAGUUAAAAGCUUAUUCUAUGGUCAAACUAACAGGAACUUAUUCCUUUGACUUCAAAGCUCAAAGGAAGAUGCCAAACACGUGAAUUUUUUAUCAUUAGAAAAAAAUGCCAACCAAACACCUAGACUUAAUUUUUUGGUAUAUAUCUAGAUGUUGACGCCAUAUUUAUGAGGAGCCCUUAUUCCUGACGCCAUCUUUUGGACUAUAUGGAGAGGCUUUGGACGCAUUGCAUCUAAGUUUGGCAGUAUUAGAGACUGAUGGUUCUUAGACCUAAGCAUUUUGUUUAACGCCAUCUCGUCCUUCAUGAGGAAGAGAUUCAGGGAGCUCACUGAUAUUUUGGCUCAAUCCUCUCCAUAAUUUUAUGUCUUGUAUAUCUUAUCCGUAGGUGGCAUCCUCUUGCCACCUCUUAGUAUUAUUCUCCACUUCCUUCUCAACCCAAACAAAAAAAGCCAGGCCAGAUAAACUAUGAUUAUAGAAAUAUUAUGGUGCAUCUUUACCUCUCUCUGACAUAAUUAGAGUUGGAAAAGUAAAUUGCCGAAUCAACUCUCACGAUCAAAACACCUGAAACCUUAGUUGCAUCUGGAUAUUGUUGGGUAUUUCUGUACACAGUUGUCCUAGGGAUCUUUCCAAGAAGGGCUGUCCGAGGUCUGGUAACUUGUAACAAUAUUUUAGCGAAGGAUAUACAGACCUGUCAUAAAACACAGUUAGAAAAGAUAAAAGUAAGUUAGACAUGUAAUUCACAAGUAGUUCAUAACUAAAAAUUGGAGGAAGUAAAUGUAUUUCUCACCGCAAUUAAGAGACCUAUCUCGACAGAGGAAAAAACUACUCCAAAAAAGGCUCCCAUGCAGGCAACAAAAUCAAAUUUGUCUAUCUUCCAUAUCAAAACUACUGCCUCAAAAUCAAGUAGGCCUAUGACAGCUGAGAUAAUGAUGGCAGCAAGAAUGGCAUUUGGGGUGUAUUUAAAAAGAGGUGUAAUGAAUUGCAAGGUUAGAAAUACAACACAAGACAUAACGAUGUUAGACACUGCAGUUUGGCAGCCAGCCAUGUAAUUUACUGCUGAUCUAGAAAAUGAACCUGCAAAUAAUUAGAAAAUAACAAUCAGCUGCGGGCUAAUUAUUAUUCCCACACGAGUGAGCAGGAACAUGAACAGACAAGUUCUUUUGAUGUUCAAGUAUUGGAAGGUAAUGGAGACUAUGUGAGUGACCUUAUUUAUUAACCUGGUAUUUGUUUCUUUCCCCUUCUUUUGAGUUAAUUAUUAGUGUGUGUUUGACAACCUUCAUAAUGUGGUAAGCAAUUUUAUAUACUGGCUUUUUCUUGGCAUGCAUGUAUUGCUAAAUGGCUCCUUGAUAAAUCAUACAGGAAGAAAUAUUACUAUAAGCCAUCCCUCUUUUCUGUAUUUAAAAAUUUACAUUCAUGUGUAAUACAAUAGGUGUUUCCUUCUCACCUGUGGCCACAUAGCAAGAAGUCAUUGAACCAACGAUAUUCAUUGCUCCUAAAGCUACCAUUUCUUUAUUACCAUCCAGUUGAUAGUCCUUCAUGGCAGCAAACGUUCUUCCAAUGGCUGUUGCUUCCUGAGAAAUCCACCCAUAAUGAAAUUAGUGAGAAACAAGGAAAGGAAAGAGUUUGAUAAAAGAACCACAAAAUAAAACCUCUUCUCCUAGCAAAGGUGAUCAAAUUGACUCACCGUAAGUGCUAUCAUGCCAGCCACCACUCCGAUCCUGAAGCCUUUUGUCAGAAACGGGCCACUGAAGAAAAUUUGAUCAGCUGAUGGGGGAUUGAUUCCUUUUUCUAUGUGAUUCACCUUCAUUCAUGAAUAGAAAAUUAGAUUUCUGCUGCAGUGUCCCUACUGUUUAAAAUUAUCAUCAAAUUUGAAACUCCUAAUCCUUUUAUCACAAGGAAAAGAUGGAAAUGCUUACAAUUGAAACUCCUUUCUUUUCAGCAUGAGUUAAAAAGACAAAGAGGGUAGAGAGAACAACUGAUAUCAAUGGUGCAAUUGCUGGCACCCAGAAAAGUUUCUUGUUCCUUUUUCCCUGUUUCUCAAAAAAAGUUGGAAAUCAGAACUAUGAUUUGCAAAUAAAUCGAGAGUAACUGGAAGUAAUAGCAGAGACUCUUACAAUGUAUUUGGCAGUGAGAAGGAAAGAUAAGAAGCAUGCCCCAAUGACAAUUGUCUGCCAGUUCCACUGCAAAUAUUGGUUCAUAGAGAAUUCAGUAACUUGAGGAUUAUAAUAUUAGAAUAAAUCACUUAUUUGAAAAUUAUCACGCUAACAGAUCAGUUCAUACUUUAAAGUGAAGUCUAAUAUAGGUGAAAAGAGAUGAAAGGAAGAGCACUUACUCCGUGUUCUGCUGAACUGAUGACUGACUUCAUCACAGAAGUAAUAUCAGUUUUCUUCGUGAAAUGUUUAAUGCCAAGAAAACCCUUAAGCUGUUGGAGGGCAAUUGUAAUGGCAGCCCCACCCAUGAAACCGACGAUGGCAGCAUGAGAUAGAAAGUCAAUCAAGAAACCCAACCUAAAAACAAAAUCAACACCAGUACAUUUCUGUAAGGUAUGGGCCUUCAAAUUCUGAAGUGUAAAUAUGAGCAGCAGGGAAAUCAAUAGUUUAUGUGUGAUGUUUUUAUUGCUUGUACAUUUAAGUAUAUGAUACCUAAGAAUUCCAAGAGCUGCUUGCGUGAUCCCAGCAAAAAAGGUAGCAGUGAAUGCAAGCUGCCGGUAUUCAACAGGAUUUUUAAAUGGAUCAAUCACUUCUUGAAGCAAACUUCCUAGUAGAAGAGAAACCACAGCAACUGGUCCAAUAGCUAUAUCUCUCGAACUGCCCAUAAAGGCGUAAAUCAAGGGUGGAACAAAGCUGGAGUCUACAAAAGUUUACAAAAAAAAAAAAAAAAAAUAGAAAUAUCAGCAGAGAAGGCAUGGAAUAAGAAAUCGCUUGAUUAGGAAAUGGAAGGAAUCAAUAAUAAGGCAAAGACUUACAAAGCCCAUAUUCAGGAUCCAUGUAUGCAAGCUUGGCGUAACCAAUAUCCUGUUUUUAGCAGUUUAUUGAACUUUAGAAUCGGUUGGAUAUGAAACUAAUAUAAUAACCUGCAAAGCCACGAUAUAAUUCUCUAACCAUAUCUGUUAACUACUAUCUCUACCUGAGGAAUGCAGAGACUUGCAAUAGUCAACCCAGCAAUGAGAUCACCUCUAAACUUAGUUAGAUUAUAGUGUCUACCCCAUUCAAGAAUAGGGAAUAUGGCCUGGAUUCCCAGGAUGAACUUGCGGGACUUUGGUUGAUCCUUGAAUGACCGGAGAGGAUCAUCUGCAAAGAAUGUUUCUUUUACAGUCGCUUUGAACUCCUUGAAGAGGUCUUGCUUAGGGGGCAACCCAACCUUGUGAACAUAUGCCAUGGCGUGUGUCUGAUGGUGAGAUGAUGACGGACUUAUAGAAUCUGCUCCUGUUGUUUCUGCCUGCUCGUCAGUUGAAUAAGCCAUCACAGACAUGGGGUAUCAAAUUUACUGCAAUGCAUGACAUGUUAAAAGACAAAUUAGAAGGCAGGGAAAGUUGGUUUUAAAUGUGCACCUAGGCACUAAGCAGUCGGGCAAAAGCUUAAAAUGACAUGAGGAACAUGGAAACCAUUUUGUUGUAUUUUCACUUCUUUUAAUUCCUUCCUGUUAUUUCAUGCAAAUUCAGCCUAAAAACUACGAACUUUAAACAAUAAAACAUCCCAGUUCUGUUAAGAGUCUUAUGGCUGUCACUAAGGAUGUUAAACCAAUAGAACUCAGCUUUAUAAAGCUAAUAUUGACAAUGAAGGAAAUUGGAACUAACCUAAAACGAAGCUAAUGAGGAUAGCAGAAAGAUAAGGGUGGUUUGAGCAGCUAGUGUUUAACAGAUGCAAACCCUACUUUAUGGAAGAAACUUUGCAAACUCUCGUUUAUAUAACUUCUGAAAUUAUUACAAGUCAAAGCUUCCGAGCUAAAAGAGAGAAUUACUUGAGCAAACGGAUAUGAAUCUGGAUCCCUUUGGAGUCAUAUACAUGAUAGUUGACAAAGUCGAAGCAAAUUUUUUAAGUUCCAUAACCUUCACUUCUAUUGUGAAGGACAUAUGGAUUUUUCAACAUCGUUAAAUUAACAUAAACAGUUGAUUUUUUUCCCUUUUUUUUUUUUUCAUUAAUUAUUGGGGAGCUUUAGUAUAUAUGGUGCUUGAGAAGUGGUUGACUUGGGAACACAGAUGGCAGCAGCUAGGAAAACUGGUUUAAACCAUAUUGGGCGCAUGUCUUAUCCCUCUUCCUUAUUGUGUUUUUCUUAUUAAUUAUCAUGAGAAGUUGAUGGAAAAUAUUAAAUGGAAAGAACUCCCCACUAACGUUGGUGCUAAAAAAUUUGAAUGUAAUUAGCUGUCCGCUGCGACUAGUCCCUUAGAAGAGCAGCAUGUUUGGUUCUGCAUCAGCUUAUUAACUUUUACUAUCCGACUAAUUUGAUUUUCACUUAAUUGUUAAAAUGUAAAAAUAUGAACAGAGAAGUGUGAAGAUUUCAGAAAGGCAUGACCUAAAAUUAUGAUGAGGAUUAAGUUGCUAAUGUCAGAAAGGAAUAUUUCUUUUUUCACUGCAACAAUUGGUAACCCAUUUGGUGAUUCAACCUAUAAAAAUAUUGACAGGAAAAAAGGAUUAAAAAGGCAUGGCAAUGGUAAACGGCUGUGAAGUUCGGGCUUACUUGACUAACUCAACAACAAGCG
rnacentral:lncRNA from 1 species